CUUUGGUUCCCCUACCACCAGUGCAGUCAUUAACACUGUGCUUGGUCCACUUCCGCCAUACCAAAAGCCUGUCGUAACGAACCUGUGGGUGUUUUUUGACUCCGAUUUAAAAUUUGACAGACAACUAAAUUAUGUGGUUAGUGCCUCAUUUUACCAACUGAGAACAAUAGCUGAAGUGCAGAAUUUCCUGUCUCCUAAAGAUGGUGGGAAGGUGGUUCAUGCGUUUAUAUCCUCCAGACUGGUCUACUGCCUUCAGGUAUUAGCCAGGCAUCACUGAACUACAAGUUGUCCAAAUUGCGGCAGCUACACUUGUCAAAAGGACUACGAAGAUUGAUCAUGCCACACCUCUUUUGGCUACACUGUUAGCUCCUGGUGACGUUUAAGAUUGAUUUGAAGAUUUUUUUUUUUUUAAGGCUGUGAAUGGUCUAGACACGGGCCCUAAGAUCCUCUGAUGAAGUUUUACUGGUUUUACCUUGGUCCUAAAUCAUGCAAUAAGCCUCCCAUUUUAUAUCAGAUCAGACUAGAAAUGUACUUUUACUUUUAAUGUGGUGUCAUGCUCUUUUUAGUGCAUUUUAAUCCAGUCUGAGGUAGUGCUCUUAGUUCAGUGUGAGGUUGCUCUACGGUUUUUGGUCAAGUCUACUCCCAAUUCUAACUUUUUUGUUUUUAUUGUGUUUUACUCAGUUAAUGCUUUUAUUUUAUUUGAUCUACAUAUUACCCAUUUCCCUUUUACUACUUAUAGAUUUGGCUUGUUUAUCUAUCUUUUUUUAUUCCUUUUAUUCUUAUACAUCACUUUUAAUUAUUUCACUUUUUACUUAUUUUAUUUGUUUUGGUUGUUUAUUUCCGUUUAUUAAUUUUAAUUCUUGUCUAAAUGUAUUAUUUAAUCUAUUUACCUCGACUGGAAAGCACUUUGGUACAACUGUAUUUAAAUGUGCUAUACAAAUAUAGCUGACUUGACUUGACUUGACACUCAUACAAACACAGAGGCAUGUGUGCACAUGCACACAGUAGCCUACAGUAUUUAAAUGUCUAAGUAUGUCAUGGAUCUCCCAGCAUGAAAGAGAGAUACCGGCAUAAAUCCCAUACAGUGUAGUGCGUCCACACACACACACACAAACGUUCUCUUUCACCCCCUCCUCGACAACAUAUUUUAAAAUCCCAGCAUGUGAAAGACCUCCCAGCAUGAGAGGGUCAACCUCAUAUCAGUCAGUAUCUCUUUCACUGCUAU
ensembl:lncRNA